rnacentral:rRNA from 1 species
GAUGAACGCUGGCGGCGUGCCUAAUACAUGCAAGUCGAGCGAACAGACGAGGAGCUUGCUCCUCUGACGUUAGCGGCGGACAGGUGAGUAACACGUGGAUAACCUACCUAUAAGACUGGGAUAACUUCGGGAAACCGGAGCUAAUACCGGAUAAUAUAUUGAACCUCAUGGUUCAAUAGUGAAAGACGGUUUUGCUGUCACUUAUAGAUGGAUCCGCGCCGCAUUAUCUAGUUGGUAAGGUAACGGCUUACCAAGGCGACGAUGCGGAGCCGACCGGGGAGGAUGAACGGCCAAGUUGGGACUGAGACACGGCAAAGACCAAUACGGGAGGGCGCAGGGGGGACUGUUGCGGAAUGGAGCAAAGGAUGACGAAGCAACGCAGAGUGAGUGAUGAAGGCCUUAGGGUUGUAAAGCUCUGUUAAUCGGGACGAAAGGACUUCUCGCGAAUAGUGAGAAGGAUUGACGGUACCGGAAUAGAAAGCCACGGCUCACUACGUG